UGAUAUGGCUCAGUUGGUAGAGCGCAUCCUUGGUAAGGAUGAGGUCCCCAGUUCGACUCUGGGUAUCAGCACCA
rnacentral:tRNA from 1 species